GACGAACGCUGGCGGCGUGCCUAAUACAUGCAAGUAGAACGCACAGUUUAUACCGUAGCUUGCUACACCAUAGACUGUGAGUUGCGAACGGGUGAGUAACGCGUAGGUAACCUGCCUGGUAGCGUGGGAUAACUGUUGGAAACGAUAGCUAAUACCGCAUAAUAUUUAUUAUUGCAUGGUAAUUAAUUGAAAGGGGCAAUUGCACCACUACCAGAUGGACCUGCGUUGUAUUAGCUAGUAGGUGAGGUAACGGCUCACCUAGGCGACGAUACAUAGCCGACCUGCGUGGGUGAGCGGCCACACUGGGACUGAGACACGGCCCAGAGUCCUACGGGAGGCAGCAGUAGGGAAUCUGCGGCAAUGGACGAAAGUCUGACCGAGCAAGGCGGCGUGAGGGAAGAAGGUUUUCGGAUCGUAAAGCUCUGUUGUAAGAGAAGAACGGGUGUGAGAGUGGAAAGUUCACACUGUGACGGUAUUUUAUCAGAAAGGGACGGCUAACUACGUG
rnacentral:rRNA from 1 species